rnacentral:rRNA from 1 species
UACGUAGGGGGCUAGCGUUGUCCGGAUUUAUUGGGCGUAAAGAGCGUGUAGGCGGCCAGGUAGGUCUGCUGUGAAAACUCGAGGCUCAACCUCGAGACGUCGGUGGAAACCGUUUGGCUAGAGUCCGGAAGAGGAGAGUGGAAUUCCCGGUGUAGCGGUGAAAUGCGCAGAUAUCGGGAAGAACACCCGUGGCGAAGGCGGCUCUCUGGGACGGUACUGACGCUGAGACGCGAAAGCGUGGGGAGCGAACAGG